rnacentral:rRNA from 1 species
UGGGGAAUUUUGGACAAUGGGGGCAACCCUGAUCCAGCAAUGCCGCGUGUGUGAAGAAGGCCUUCGGGUUGUAAAGCACUUUUGUCCGGAAAGAAAACGCCGUGGUUAAUACCCGUGGCGGAUGACGGUACCGGAAGAAUAAGCACCGGCUAACUACGUGCCAGCAGCCGCGGUAAUACGUAGGGUGCAAGCGUUAAUCGGAAUUACUGGGCGUAAAGCGUGCGCAGGCGGUCCGCUAAGACAGAUGUGAAAUCCCCGGGCUUAACCUGGGAACUGCAUUUGUGACUGGCGGGCUAGAGUAUGGCAGAGGGGGGUAGAAUUCCACGUGUAGCAGUGAAAUGCGUAGAGAUGUGGAGGAAUACCGAUGGCGAAGGCAGCCCCCUGGGCCAAUACUGACGCUCAUGCACGAAAGCGUGGGGGAGCAAACAGGAUUAGAUACCCUGGUAGUCCACGCCCUAAACGAUGUCAACUAGUUGUCGGGUCUUCAUUGACUUGGUAACGUAGCUAACGCGUGAAGUUGACCGCCUGGGGAGUACGGUCGCAAGA